rnacentral:rRNA from 1 species
UACGUAGGGUGCUAGCGUUGUCCGGAUUUAUUGGGCGUAAAGAGCUCGUAGGCGGCUUGUCGCGUCGGAUGUGAAAGCCCGGGGCUUAACUCCGGGUCUGCAUUCGAUACGGGCAGGCUAGAGUUCGGUAGGGGAGAUCGGAAUUCCUGGUGUAGCGGUGAAAUGCGCAGAUAUCAGGAGGAACACCGGUGGCGAAGGCGGAUCUCUGGGCCGAUACUGACGCUGAGGAGCGAAAGCGUGGGGAGCGAACAGG